rnacentral:rRNA from 1 species
GAUGAACGCUGGCGGCGUGCCUAAUACAUGCAAGUCGAGCGAACAGAUGAGGAGCUUGCUCCUCUGACGUUAGCGGCGGACGGGUGAGUAACACGUGGAUAACCUACCUAUAAGACUGGGAUAACUUCGGGAAACCGGAGCUAUUACCGGAUAAUAUAUUGAACCGCAUGGUUCAAUAGUGAAAGACGGUUUUGCUGUCACUUAUAGAUGGAUCCGCGCCGCAUUAGCUAGUUGGUAAGGUAACGGCUUACCAAGGCAACGAUGCGUAGCCGACCUGAGAGGGUGAUCAGCCACACUGGAGCUGAGACACGGUCCAGACUCCUACGGGAGGCAGCAGUAGGGAAUCUUCCGCAAUGGGCGAAAGCCUGACGGAGCAACGCCGCGUGAGUGAUGAAGGUCUUCGGAUCGUAAAACUCUGUUAUUAGGGAAGAACAAAUGUGUAAGUAACUAUGCACGUCUUGACGGUACCUAAUCAGAAAGCCACGGCUAACUACGUG